AGGUUUCAGCAGAGCCUCAAUCUGGCUGCUGGCUUUUGAACCUCUGAAGAUGCUGCUGUGCUUGGACUCGGCAUGACUCUUCUCUUACAAGAAGAGUAGCAUUAUGCUGCACCAACACAAUGCUGUCCACGUCCGGAUAUGCCACAGGGGAAAUGAGCUGAGUGCCCAGUGAACUUUAUUGCUGUAGAGAACCUGGCAGAACUCAUCACACUUUGUAGCUGAUACCUUCCUGUGGCAGGUUCAGGUCUUGUCUCUUUGUUUCCUUGAACCUUUCAAGAGUUCCAGCCUGACCUCACUUGUGUUGUACUAUGGAGUGCCUAGAAAAUAUAGAUGCCUUAAGCCCUCACUCAGGUUCCCAGAACAAGGCUGCAACAUGUCUGGCUCCAUGACUUAAUUGAGUGCCAAGGAAGAUCAAUGUUCAGCAAGUGAUUUGCAGGUGUGCCAGCUACGGUCAGCCAAACUACGGUGCUCUGGGAUUCAAACAGCUCUAAGGAGUCAACCUACAGGGUGCCACAGCAUCUGCAGCUGCCUCAGCUUUUUACAGACUGAAGAUCUUUCUGCAAGUGGGUCUCAGCACCAUCAGCUGGUACUGCUUAAAGAGAUACCAUGGCUUUUCUCUGGGAAUGGUAUGUGCGCUCACCAAAAAGCACCACAGAGGAACUGGAGCCUUGGCAGGACCAGGAGGGUGCCCAGAGCAGCUCUGCAAGGAAAGUGAGUGCCUUCACUCCUCUGUCAUCACCAGUCCCUGAGAGCCAUCACCACCCACCAAGAGUUCCUUGAGAUAAGGCCGAGCCAGCUGGGAGAAGAAAGCCUUUGAUAUUCCCUGCCUUGCUGAAUACCUGUGGCCAAUAUCAGUCAUGUUUACCCAGCUCCUGCCCCAAAAUGCUUACAGCUAGACUUCUUCAGGUCUGCGAAAACUGAGCAGGGACAGAGAUGGACCAAGCCCAGCACAUGGAAAUGGAUCCCUCCAGGUGAGCACUCAGGUAAAGUCACCAGAGAGCGUGCUCAACAUGGACCAGGUGAGCUUCACAUCUCCAGGGCUAAUGAUUCUCGCACUUUCAGAGCUAGGUAUCGCUCAGCUUUUUUUCCCCCAGGCAUUUAAUCACCUCUCAAACUGCCCUUGGAGGCUGCUGUGCCCUGUGCACCUGAAAGCCUGGCAGGUGACCCAGUUGGUGAGAGGAGGACAGCUGCAAGCAGGCAGCCAGGAAAACAUGGGAGUUUCAGUGGUUUCUGAAGCCUGAGGAAUGCGAAGAUGCCCUGAGGUCGGCAAGAGUUAAGCGCAAUCAUACAGAGGCCUGUCUGUUAUGAUUUAAGGUAGCUUAGUGAAUAUCUAUAAAAGUAGGAUAUAGAGCAUUGUGCAGGAGAAAAAUAACGUUUUAUGUAAGACACGACCCGGGGCAUCAUGCCCGGCUAUCCCUUCCAGAUUUGGAAGGAUUCACUGUUUUGUGUGGCAUGAUGGCAAGUUUUGAAAAAUAAGCUUUCCUCUUCUGUGCAGGUCAGAUGGGUGACGCCUGGCAGCUUGUGCACUGCCGCUACAUUUUCUACAUUUCCAGUGUUCAGUCACUCUAAUUACUACUGGGUCUUUCCCCAUCGUGUUGUGAAAUGCUUCAGGGGCUAAAAGGGGGGAAAAAGGAAAAAAAAAAAAAAGAUCUAACUGUGGUCUAGACCUCAGGAGGAAGAGGAAGAAGGAGGCAUCAGUUAGGACAAACUCCUAACAGAAAUGGGAUAAAGAAUACUUGUUUAUUAAAUCUUACAUAUCUGUAGCUAGCUCAAAGAUCUCUCACAGUCCUUCACAGUAGCAGAGCAAAGGAACAAGAGAGAAGCCCUCAGCCUAACCCAUUAAAAGCAGCAGCAGCAGCAGCUUUGCGUGCUGUGGUGUGGCCGGCAUUCACAGGCUGGCUUUUUUCUUUUGCAUCUCCCACUGGUAGAGGAAAGUUCUUUCCAAGGUGGUAGUUCCACCCUUGUAUUGAAAUGUGAGCAAAGAGGAACUUUCUCCGUUGGAUUUGGGUUCAUUCAGAGCGCUUGUAAACAGUGUUAACAUAAAGAUAACACAUGCAGGGAGUGUGCCGUGGGUUGCCACAAGUGGUAGAGGAU